rnacentral:lncRNA from 1 species
GGAUCACUUGAGGUGAGGAGUUUGAGAUCCACCUGGCCAAAAUGAUGAAACCCUGUCUGUACUAAAUAUACAAAAAUUAUCCGGGCGUCGUGGUGGGCGCCUGUAAUCCCAGCUACUUGGGAGGCUGAGGCACGAGAAUUGCUUGAACCCAGGAGGCGGAGGUUGCAGUGAGCUGAGAGCGUGCCACUGCACUGCAGCCUGGUGACAAAGUGAGACUCCGUCUCAAUAAAUAAAUAAAUUAAUUAAAAAAAAAACAGCCUGCAGUACACCGGAACCAGGGCUGGGGACAGGCAGUAAGAAGUGCAGCCCAGGGGUCUGCUUCCUCUGUUUCCCCACAGAAGCUCACCUUUCUGUUGCUUAAUAGAGCUGCCGGGAUGGGGCAGGACUCCCGUUCCCCCUCCUUCACUCUACCACCCAAGCGGUCCCCAAGGUGAAUGCCACAUUCUUUAGUGAGCUUAGCCCUGCUGAUGUGCGGUGGUGCCUUUUCUAGGGCCCCUGUGCCUGUCAGCCAAGUCUACCCUGACUAUGCAGGGAAUGGCUUUCUUCUCUUGCCCGUUGGCGUUGGCGGCAGGCAGGGGCCUAGAUGUUGGCUUCUUCACUUUCCCUCCCUGGCUCCACAGAUCUCCCCCAGUUGCAGGCUCUCUGGUUCCUUGAACUUCCAAAGAUAAAUAAAUAGUGAUUGCAAAUGGAGGAAGGGAGAAGGGGAAUGGACUCCCCCAGCAGGAGCCCUCACAGGCGGUGGCCCAGGCUGCAUUCCUCAGGAAAGAGCUGACAGCAGAGCCACAGCCCAUAGGCAGGGCUGUGCAGCCCUCCUGCUCACAGGCAAGGAAGACUCUGAGAUCUCUGGCCUGGGUCAUAUAGCUUUUCUGUGAUUUCCUUUGGCUAAAUGAAGACACUCAAAGUCUAAAGAAGAAUUCUACUGGAACACCCACUCCUGGAGGCUGAACAGAGGCCAAAGGACAUUUAAUGAGGCGAGGCUUCCCCACCACUAGGAAUGAAAUGUCUGAUGGAGACAUCUACAAAACACUGGACUGUCCUGAGGGUCACCACAUUUGACUUCUUACCCACCCAGGGAGGUGAUGAAGUGGAGGUUACUUUCUUAUUUUGCAAGUAUGGAUGAAGAAACUGAGUCACUGAGACUAGAGUCCAAGGAUUUUAACAAUCAGACUCAGGUCAACAGUGGUUGAGAUAAUGGCCCAUAAUUGGCUCCAGAAUGCAAACGUGGCAUUUCUCCAGGAUUCCAUUAGCUCAGAAUGACAAGAUGAGGACUACUUCCUGCACGAUGACCACAGCGGCUAAGAGGCUGAGGCAGGAGAACCGCUUGAACCCAGAAGGUGGAGACUGUGGUGAGCGGAGAUUGUGCUGUUGCAUUCCAGCCUGGGCGGCAGAGCAAAAGUCUGCCUCAAAUAAAUACAUAAAUAAAUGUCCUCUGUGCUGUCUCUGUGGAGGAUCAAGAGUGGUGGGACCAGUGGGGGAACAGGAGACAGUGAGGAGGCCAGGCCCACAGGCCAGUGG